AAACACUUCAACAAGUAACCAAAAGCUAUAUAAUGCUAUAUGGCCUGGAGAAACUAUAAGACGACCUCGAGGAUGGGUGUUCCCCAAUAAUGGAAAGCCCCUGAGAAUUGCCGUUCCUUUCCGUGUCACUUUUGAAGAGUUUGUGAAGAAAGACAAAGGACCUGCUGGGGUGAAAGGAUAUUGCAUUGAUGUUUUUGAGGCUGCAAUAGACUUGUUGGCUUACCCUGUCCCUCAUGUCUACAUUUUGUACGGAGAUGGAAAAAGAAACCCGUCGUUCAACAGCAUAGUGAAUGAUGUUGCACAAAAUAAAUAUGAUGCAGCUGUUGGAGAUAUUGCAAUUACGACAAAUCGCACAAGGAUUGUGGACUUCACACAGCCUUAUAUGGAAUCUGGACUCGUAGUAG
rnacentral:misc_RNA from 1 species